ACCCGCUGAAUUUAAGCAUAUCACUAAGCGGAGGAAAAGAAACUAACCAGGAUUCCCCUAGUAACGGCGAGUGAAGAGGGAAGAGCCCAGCACCGAAGCCUGCGGCAGUUUUGCUGUUAGGCAAUGUGGUGUUUGGGUCGGCUCGUGGGAUUGCCACUCCACUCGAAGUCCAGCAUUGAGUAUGGUCCCCUGGAUUUGGCCCAGAGAGGGUGAAAGGCCCGUGCGAGUGGACGUUUCAGACAUGUAAGGCAAUUCACCAGGCCGGCCUUAGAGUCGGGUUGUUUGAGAAUGCAGCCCAAAGUGGGUGGUAAACUCCAUCCAAGGCUAAAUACAAGCACGAGUCCGAUAGCGAACAAGUACCGUGAGGGAAAGUUGAAAAGUACUUUGAAGAGAGAGUAAACAGUACGUGAAACCGCGUAGAGGUAAACGGGUGGCGUCAAGCUGCAAGCCCAGAGGAUUCAGUCGGUCAGGGUGUUGUGUAUGCGCCUGGCGCAUCUAUCAGUCGGUGUUAGUAUGAGUAGUCCGCCUGGAAAAGGUGGGCCCAGCCGCAAGGUUGGGAUUUGCGUUCCGGGUGACUGCCGGAGCAUGCUGCUUGUCUAGUGGACUGUCUGGCCGAUGCACUUCCUCUGUUCAGGUGAACACCACGACCGGUGGUACUGCCAGUCUGUUGUGGUCAAGUUGUAUCUGGUUGGCACUUGUUGUCAUCUGGGUGCAAUCACAGGCAAUGUCAUAGUCCGGCGUUCAGGCGCUUGCGUCUGUUCGUGUUAUCGGGCUGUGCUUGUCAACGGGUCUGUCUGUCGACUUUGCAGUAGUUGAUGGAUGGCCUGGUGGACCAUGAUGGUAUGAAUAACUGUGCAGGGCACCGGAGUUCUCGGUCUCUAAUCUGGCUCAUGCGCACACUGCAAGUGUUGUAUAGGGGGCGUUAUUGCGGCCUAUCGUAGUUGGGUCUGAUUGUCGUGUCGCCUGCACAAAGUAGGCCCGGCUUUGGCUCGGCUGCGGUUGGAGUCGUGGAUGGCGUUCCUUGUGUGAGUCGGUGUGGACCAAACAGUCUGUGGUGUAGUGGUAGACCAGCCACCCGACCCGUCUUGAAACACGGACCAAGGAGUUUAACAUGCGCGCAAGUCAAGGGGUCUUACGAAACCCAAAGGCGCAGUGAAAGUGAAGCCUCGACUUGUCUCGGGGUGUGGUGAGAUCCUGCCGUUACUCGCAUCUGCACUUGUGCAUUGUGUCAGCACCAGGCAAAGAGCGGCAGGCGCAUCACCGGCCCGUCCCAUGAUGUGGUCAUUGGUCGGUUGUAGUCGUGGGCUUCGGUUUGCGGCUGCAGCUCCAGUGCGUCAUCGGGGCGGAGCAUGAGCGCGCAUGUUGAGACCCGAAAGAUGGUGAACUAUGCUUGCGUAGGUUGAAGCCAGAGGAAACUCUGGUGGAGGACCGCAGCGAUUCUGACGUGCAAAUCGAUCGUCAAACGUGAGUAUAGGGGCGAAAGACUAAUCGAACCAUCUAGUAGCUGGUUCCCUCCGAAGUUUCCCUCAGGAUAGC
rnacentral:rRNA from 1 species